rnacentral:rRNA from 1 species
CGCGGCCUAUCAGCUUGUUGGUGAGGUAACGGCUCACCAAGGCAUCGACGGGUAGCUGGUCUGAGAGGACGGUCAGCCACACUGGGACUGAGACACGGCCCAGACUCCUACGGGAGGCAGCAGUGGGGAAUCUUGCGCAAUGGGCGAAAGCCUGACGCAGCCACGCCGCGUGAGGGAUGAAGGCUUUCGGGUUGUAAACCUCUUUCAGCAGGGACGAAAAUGACGGUACCUGCAGAAGAAGCUCCGGCCAACUACGUGCCAGCAGCCGCGGUAACACGUAGGGAGCAAGCGUUGUCCGGAUUUAUUGGGCGUAAAGAGCUCGUAGGCGGUUCAGUAAGUCAGGUGUGAAAGUCCAAGGCUCAACCUUGGAACGCCACUUGAUACUGCUGUGACUAGAGUCCGGUAGAGGAGUGUGGAAUUCCUGGUGUAGCGGUGAAAUGCGCAGAUAUCAGGAGGGACACCGACGGCGAAGGCAGCACUCUGGGCCGGUACUGACGCUGAGGAGCGAAAGCAUGGGGAGCGAACAGGAUUAGAUACCCUGGUAGUCCAUGCCGUAAACGUUGGGCACUAGGUGUGGGGCCUUAUCAACGGGUUCCGUGCCGUAGCUAACGCAUUAAGUGCCCCGCCUGGGGAGUACGG